AUUGAACGCUGGCGGCAGGCUUAACACAUGCAAGACGAGCGGGGAAAGGUAGCUUGCUACCUGACCUAGCGGCGGACGGGUGAGUAAUGCUUAGGAAUCUGCCUAUUAGUGGGGGACAACAUUCCGAAAGGAAUGCUAAUACCGCAUACGCCCUACGGGGGAAAGCAGGGGAUCUUCGGACCUUGCGCUAAUAGAUGAGCCUACGUCAGAUUAGCUAGUUGGUGGGGUAAAGGCCUACCAAGGCGACGAGCUGUAGCGGGUCUGAGAGGAUGAUCCGCCACACUGGGACUGAGACACGGCCCAGACUCCUACGGGAGGCAGCAGUGGGGAAUAUUGGACAAUGGGCGAAAGCCUGAUCCAGCCAUGCCGCGUGUGUGAAGAAGGCCUUUUGGUUGUAAAGCACUUUAAGCGAGGAGGAGGCUACUUGGAUUAAUACUCUAGGAUAGUGGACGUUACUCGCAGAAUAAGCACCGGCUAACUCUGUGCCAGCAGCCGCAGUAA
rnacentral:rRNA from 1 species